UUUGAUCCUGGCUCAGGACGAACGCUGGCGGUGUGCUUAACACAUGCAAGUGGAGCGACGAACCAGGGCUUGCCCUGGGGCAGAGCCGCGAACGGGUGAGUAACACGUGGGUAACCUACCCCGAUGACUGGGACAACCCGAGGAAACUCGGGCUAAUACCGGAUGUGCUCGGAGUUCACGAGAACUUUGAGUAAAGGAAGCUUCGGCCUCCGCAUUGGGAGGGGCCCGCGGCCCGUUAGUUUGUUGGUGGGGUAACGGCCUACCAAGACUGCGAUGGGUAGCUGGUCUGAGAGGACGAUCAGCCACACUGGGACUGAGACACGGCCCAGACUCCUACGGGAGGCAGCAGUGGGGAAUCUUGCGCAAUGCGCGAAAGCGUGACGCAGCAACACCGCGUGAGGGAAGACGGCCUUCGGGUUGUAAACCUCUUUCAGGAGGGACGAAGGUCGACCGGUGAAUAGCCGUGUCGACUGACGGUACCUCCAGAAGAAGCACCGGCUAACUACGUGCCAGCAGCCGCGGUAAUACGUAGGGUGCAAGCGUUGUCCGGAAUCAUUGGGCGUAAAGCGCGCGUAGGCGGCCCGAUAAGUCCGCUGUAAAAGUCAACGGCUCAACUGUUGAAAGCCGGUGGAUACUGUCGGGCUAGAGUACGGAAGAGGCAAGUGGAAUUCCUGGUGUAGCGGUGGAAUGCGCAGAUAUCAGGAGGAACACCUAUAGCGAAGGCAGCUUGCUGGGACGUUACUGACGCUAAGGCGCGAAAGCGUGGGGAGCGAACAGGAUUAGAUACCCUGGUAGUCCACGCCGUAAACGAUGAGAACUAGGUGUGGGAGGUGUCGACUCCUCCCGUGCCGUCGCUAACGCAUUAAGUUCUCCGCCUGGGGAGUACGGCCGCAAGG
rnacentral:rRNA from 1 species